rnacentral:rRNA from 1 species
AUUGAACGCUGGCGGCAGGCCUAACACAUGCCAGUCGAGCGGAUGAAGGGAGCUUUCUCCUGGAUUCAGCGGCGGACGGGUGAGUAAUGCCUAGGAAUCUGCCUGGUAGUGGGGGAUAACGUCCGGAAACGGGCGCUAAUACCGCAUACGUCCUGAGGGAGAAAGUGGGGGAUCUUCGGACCUCACGCUAUCAGAUGAGCCUAGGUCGGAUUAGCUAGUUGGUGGGGUGAAGGCCUACCAAGGCGACGAUCCGUAACUGGUCUGAGAGGAUGAUCAGUCACACUGGAACUGAGACACGGUCCAGACUCCUACGGGAGGCAGCAGUGGGGAAUAUUGGACAAUGGGCGAAAGCCUGAUCCAGCCAUGCCGCGUGUGUGAAGAAGGUCUUCGGAUUGUAAGGCACUUUAAGUUGGGAGGAAGGGCAGUAAGUUAAUACCUUGCUGUUUUGACGUUACCAACAGAAUAAGCACCGGCUAACUUCGUG